UACGAAGGGUGCAAGCGUUACUCGGAAUUACUGGGCGUAAAGCGUGCGUAGGUGGUGAGUUAAGUCUGAUGUGAAAUCCCCGGGCUCAACCUGGGAAUGGCAUUGGAUACUGGCUCGCUAGAGUGCGGUAGAGGGUGGUGGAAUUCCCGGUGUAGCAGUGAAAUGCGUAGAGAUCGGGAGGAACAUCUGUGGCGAAAGCGGCCACCUGGACCAACACUGACACUGAGGCACGAAAGCGUGGGGAGCAAACAGG
rnacentral:rRNA from 1 species